rnacentral:misc_RNA from 1 species
CGCACAUUGCGCCCUUUGGUAUUCCGAAGGGCAUGCCUGUUCGAGCGUCAUUAUCCCCCCUCAAACCUCGUGUUUGGUGUUGGACCCGUGUUGGUUGGCGACGACCAACUGGUCCCAAAGACAAUGACGGUUCCCACUGGGACCCUUGGUGCAACGAGCUUCUUUCGAGAGCACGCAUCGGGUGGGACCCAGCGGGCCGGUCUCCUUAAACUAUUUUCUAAGGUUGACCUCGGAUCAGGUAGGAAUACCCGCUGAACUUAA